CCCUCUUGAUUUUGGUCGAAACUUUCACUUUCCAUACAUACCGCCGGUAUUUGCUUGCAGUGACUUUGGGUUGGAACAGCGGGGAUAUCGAUUUAACUUGGCAUGUUGUUGCUGCAGGUUCUAUGUUGAUUUCUGACUUAGAUUUCUAUGUGUGGUAUGAGCUGUUUUGAUGCCUUGCUAGAUAUGUAUUGGUUGCAUUGCUUGCUGCAGUUUGUUGUUUGAUGGCAGGUUGGAGGCUUUGGCUAGGUGAUGUGGUGUACUGUGAGCAGGGAACUUGGUUGCACUUUCCAUGAGCACAUUCCUGUGGUGCUGCUACAGCUUAUUAUUUGGUGGCUAUGUGGAGUGGCAACUGGUGUUAGGAUCGUGUGGUAACAGAUUUUUUGUUGUAAAAUGGUACAGGUUAGGAAUGACCAUUGAAAAUUCAUGGUUUUGGAGUUUUGAAUUGGUUUGUUCAAUGGGACUUACUUGCAAAUGAAGUAAACAAGAAAAAAUCAUCAACAAACAUGAAGAUUGGAUGACACAAUGAAACAAAGGGCCAGACCAAGUUUGGAUAGUCAAGAGCAAGUGGGGGUUGACUUUGGUCAAAGUUGACCAAAAAGUCAACCGUUGACCAAAGUCAACAAAUGGUCAAAAUGCAUUUUUUGUAUUUUCUUUGUAAAUGAAAAAUGAAUUAUUGGUUAGGGUGAGAUUUUGGGUUUGUGGAUUUUGGGUUGACUUUGGUCAAAGUUGACCAAAAAGUCAACUGUUGACCAAAGUCAACAAUUGGUCAAAAAUGCCAAAUUUUGUAUUUUUUGUAUGGAAUCAAAUGUAAUGAAAUAAAAUUGAAAUAAAUUGAAAUGGAUUAACAAAAUGG
rnacentral:lncRNA from 1 species